rnacentral:rRNA from 1 species
GACGAACGCUGGCGGCGUGCUUAACACAUGCCAGUCGAACGGAAAGGCCCUGCUUUUGUGGGGUGCUCGAGUGGCGAACGGGUGAGUAACACGUGAGUAACCUGCCCUUGACUUUGGGAUAACUUCAGGAAACUGGGGCUAAUACCGGAUAGGAGCUCCUGCUGCAUGGUGGGGGUUGGAAAGUUUCGGCGGUUGGGGAUGGACUCGCGGCUUAUCAGCUUGUUGGUGGGGUAGUGGCAUACCAAGGCUUUGACGGGUAGCCGGCCUGAGAGGGUGACCGGCCACAUUGGGACUGAGAUACGGCCCAGACUCCUACGGGAGGCAGCAGUGGGGAAUAUUGCACAAUGGGCGGAAGCCUGAUGCAGCAACGCCGCGUGCGGGAUGACGGCCUUCGGGUUGUAAACCGCUUUCGCCUGUGACGAAGCGUGAGUGACGGUAAUGGGUAAAGAAGCACCGGCUAACUACGUG